rnacentral:misc_RNA from 1 species
AAAAGAACAAAUAAUGAUGGCGGGUUGUGUACCUAAUUUCUAAUUAGACAAUGAAGCAGAGGGGCUUCCUCAAACAGUCCUUGAAAAAGAAGGCAUAAAGUUUUAAAAAAAAAAAAGGUUGUAUGCCCUUCCUUCCUUAUCAGGGCAUCACCAAUUCAACACACCUGUCAGGAAACUUUCCACGACUUCUAAAUUACAAAUGGAAAAAAACUGGAUCCGAGAAUGCGUGUACAGGGCUUUCCCUGUCAGACACAAUGUAGAUAGUUGAGGAUAGAGAGACUUGGGAGAUCGAUUUUAAAGCUUGUUAAAAUACAAAACAAUAUGGUCCAGCCUAUCUAUUUAAUGCAUUACUUUAGGCCUUGUACAAAAAUUAGGGGGGUCUUAAACCCUAUAGAUUGAGGCCAACCUAUACACGUCAGCCUCAUGCCAACGACAGCCAACAACCCCACCAAACCAAAACAAACAGCAAAUAAAAAGACGAGGCCAAUCUUUCCCUGCAUCAGUCCUUCCCUGCUUCUUCCUUGCCUUUGGCCUUCCCGUCGUCUGAAAUGUGGAAGCCCUCAACCUUAAGCGAAACUUCUUCUGCUGUUACUUUCACCUUUCUAAUUGAUCCAUUUUCUGUGAAUCCCUCAUUCUCAUAAUGCGACAAAGGGCCUGUCUGCCAUAUUCUGAUGGUUCCGUCCUCAGAUCCAGAGGCAUAUGAUUCCCCUCCUGGUGAGAAACGCACACAGUGCACAGGACCAUGAUGACCCUUGUUGCAUACUAUCUCAUCACCGGUAUGAAAAUCAUAUACAUGAAUCCACAUAUCUUCUCCCCCAACAAUGAACUUAUUCCCGUACUUGGGUUCCAAUGAAGCUGAUUCUACUGUGCAAGGCAUGUUGUAGCUCUUCACUAACCCAAAGUGGUUUGCAUCCCAAAAUUUCACUGUAGAACCAUCACAAGUUGUUAUAUAUCGACCAUCUUGACUCACUUCGGCACUGGUUACAGAUGAUUUGGUCUCAAGUGUUUGCACUAUCUUUCCACUUCUAACAUCCCAUAGUCUGCAUGACAGUUCAGUUAUUUCAACAAGCAAUACCCAUAAACCCAUGCAAGUUAUCUCACACAACAGUUCAGGAAACAACAGUUUUCUCUGCUUCUGACAAAAUACAGGUACAAUGUACAUCUAUAUCUUACAUACAAGCAUGCAUUAUCAUAAAAGGAGCUACCUUUAAACAUAAUUAAAAUGAUAAGCUAACCUCACACCCCCCAUGUCAGUGCAAGAACUUAGUAUUGUCUGAUCAGUGUGAAGCCAUGCAACAGUCCUCACCGAGCCAGGAGACUUAUCAACUUCUCUUGGAGGUGCAUCUGGACGACUCAAAUCAAAAAUACGAAGGACUUUCUCCACUCCCCCAGUGAGCAGAAGGCUAGUAUCCUCUGAAAAUGCACAAGCUCGAACAAUGUGUUUGUGUUCAAAUGAAUGCAGUUCAUCCCCAGUUAAUGCAUCCCACACUUUCGCAGUAAAGUCAGCAGAACCAGAAGCAGCCCGUAAAGCAUUAGUAUCCAAACAGCAACUCCACACUGCACCCUUAUGCCCUUCAAACGUUCCAAUCCAAUCACCAGUCUCUCCAUUUCUAAGCAUGGGACUAGAAUCCUUGCUCGCACUGAUGAGGAAGAAGCCAUCUGGAGUGAUUGGACUGUAAAACAAAUCCACAACAGGGCGAGAAUGACCAUGGCACACAAGUGGAACCGCCACUCUUUUCUUAUCCAUCAGAUUCAGUUCCCUUUUUUUUCCUAGAACAACUAUAGAAUACCUAAAAUCUGUCGUAUAAUGAACCCUUUUGAUGAUCUGAAACUUUCAAGAAAUCAAUUACAAAAGGAAAAAUGUCUAUACAGAGAUCAAAUUAGACAUAAGAGAAAUGGCGGUAUUUGACACAGGUGGGAAAAGCUGAAUCUUGGAAUUUAUGGAUUGAAAGCUUGAAUCCACACCCCCUAACCCUAGGCUCUGCGCGAAUGAAAUGCUUGGAGGGAAAGAACAAACAGAAAAAUAGGAAGAAAAUUUUUUUGUUAGACUACAGAGCUGCGAAACAGGG